UUUAGAGGAAGUAAAAGUCGUAACAAGGUCUCCGUUGGUGAACCAGCGGAGGGAUCAUUACCGAGUUUACAACUCCCAAACCCCUGUGAACAUACCAAUUGUUGCCUCGGCGGAUCAGCCCGCUCCCGGUAAAACGGGACGGCCCGCCAGAGGACCCCUAAACUCUGUUUCUAUAUGUAACUUCUGAGUAAAACCAUAAAUAAAUCAAAACUUUCAACAACGGAUCUCUUGGUUCUGGCAUCGAUGAAGAACGCAGCAAAAUGCGAUAAGUAAUGUGAAUUGCAGAAUUCAGUGAAUCAUCGAAUCUUUGAACGCACAUUGCGCCCGCCAGUAUUCUGGCGGGCAUGCCUGUUCGAGCGUCAUUUCAACCCUCAAGCCCAGCUUGGUGUUGGGACUCGCGAGCCAAAUCGCGUUCCCCAAAUUGAUUGGCGGUCACGUCGAGCUUCCAUAGCGUAGUAGUAAAACCCUCGUUACUGGUAAUCGUCGCGGCCACGCCGUUAAACCCCAACUUCUGAAUNNNGACCUCGGAUCAGGUAGGAAUACCCGC
rnacentral:rRNA from 1 species